GUAGUUCCUAGGCAGGCAGGUUAGCCUUGGUGCAUGGACUCGCGUUUGAAAACCCAUGGUUUAAAUAGAGGGGGCACCUGCGGUUUCCCCAAAUGUGGGAAACUCGACUGCAUAGUUUGUGGUAGUGGGGGACUGCGUUCGUGCUUUCCCCUG
ensembl:snRNA U1 U1 spliceosomal RNA